GGGUCCCCCUUGUCCCGACUGGCCAGGUCAGGCUUCGAAGCCCCGAGACGCUCCGGGUUGUGCCACCCGGGGGUUCCUUUGGGAAAAUCCCCGUCGCCCUCGCGCCGCGCCGGGACUCGCGCGCCCCCCCGGCUCUCGGAGAAGCAGGCGCCGGGGCAGCCCCUGCCCGGCCAGCUCGCGGCCAGCUCCGCCCGGGGCAGGACAGGGCGCCGCGCCGACUCUCCCUACGCCUCCUCGCGAGCCCGACUGGAGCCGGGGAUCCCGCGCGAGGGUGCGUCCCGGGCCCUCCCUGCGCUGCCGCGAGCAACUUUGUGCGGGCGGCGCGGCCGGCAGGUGGGAGAAGGUGGCCGGCUAAGCGCGCCGCGGGAGGGUGAGUGCGGUCGGGUGUCCCCGCGCGCAGGUUCCCCUCUCGUCCACCUGGUGCCUCGGGCAGAGUUGUCGCUGGGGAUCCGGGGACGCUAGGUUGGGGGGGAAGCUUUCUGGAAGCUACUUGCGGCGACCAAAGAGCGAGUCAGCCGGACCCCGCCGCUCCCCGGGGUAGGGAGCGCGACCCCCGGUCCCUGUUCCCGGCUCUGGGAGCUUGAGGGCGUGACAGGCCACAGCCCGCCCCAGCUGCGCGACCCCGGGAGCGCCGGGCAACGCGGUCCCCCUGCUCAGGGAAGGGAUGAGCCGCGGUGCAGGUUACGGCGUCGCGCUGCGUGCGAUCCGCGCGUUCUGCCCCGCCGGCUCGCCUCGUCCCCGGGGGCGCGCGGGCGCGGGGGCCCGGCAGAGGGCGCACGUGUCCCCGAGCGCCGCGCGGGCCGGCCGAGGGGAGGGCACCGGCGGGAGCCUCCUCCAGGUGAGGAGCUCAGCGAAUCCGUCCCGGACCCGGUCCCCGCGCCGCGGCUCAAAGGCUGGGCGGCGCCGCUGAGCAGUGGGAGUGCGGGGCGGCCCUCGUGCGGGACGCGUUGGGCUUUCUGCUGCCCAGAGGUGCGGGGGACAGCUCGGGAAGGCCGCUGUAUCCUGUCGGACAUGAAAUUAUUUCUUUAAAAAAUACUUGAGGAGGCAUCUUCCCAAAGUUAAUGGAAAACGUGUGUUACAAAAAGCUACGUAUGAAUUUCAAAAACUUUUGGCAUCAAGAUAAACUUAUGUGUUAAUUCCAUUUUCCAUGAGCUCUUGUAUUUGCUCUUCCACAUCUAUUGGAAUGUCAGAUAACCUGGAGCCAGGUCAAGGUCACAUGCACAAGUCUCCAAGCGUCUACUGCACUUUCUCGAAGACACAAGUCACUACUUCCUGAGUGGUUUGGUGAGGAAUUGCUUCCCACACAGAUGAGAAAUCUUACGUAUGUAGGAAAUGGUCAUUGGGUAUCAGUAGGUCUAAAUUUUUUCUUUUUCCCAUUUCAACAAAACCAACUGGCGUAAAGUUUUCCUUGGAAACUUGGGUGUUCCGCGUCUCUUCCCCUGUCCGUCUCAGACGUGGAUUUGAGCAAGUCCAAGGACUUUGGGUGAGGCUCAAGUGAACUUUGGGUGUUGGCCUUAUUCUAUCCUGGAGCGGCUGGCCCGAAGCAUGGCGGCCGGCGGCUCUGUGUGGAAGGGAUCUCUCUGUGGCCUGGGUCUUGUGCCCAUUGUUGCGGGUGGAAGAGUGAGUCAGGGGCAUGGUGGUGGCAAGAGAGAGAGCAGGAAUUCUCAGUUGAUCUGGUUUUCUUUCUGUCUCUCUCUGUUGCUCUGCCUUUCAAAUAAAUAAAAAAAAGAAUUCCCA
rnacentral:lncRNA from 1 species